UGUCUCCUUUUUCUAAUCAGUGAAACUAAUCUCCCCGUGAAGAAGCGGGGAUACCCCUAUAAGACGAGAAGACCCCAUGGAGCUUUAAACCCAACUACACUCCCGACUCUCAAAACCACUAAACUCCCGGGACCCUACUACGUUGGUUUUAGGUUGGGGCGACCACGGAGUACAAUAAAACCUCCACAAUGAACAGGACUAUUCCUUUAUCUAAGAGCUACACCUCUAAGAAUUGACACAUCAACAUAAUAUGAUCCAUUUUUUGAUCAAUGAACCAAGUUACCCUGGGGAUAACAGCGCAAUCCAUUUCAAGAAGAUCAUCGGAAGAGCAGUUUACGACCUCGAUGUUGGAUCAGGACAUCCCAAUGGUGCAGAAGCUAUUAAUGGUUUGUUUGUUCAACAAUUAAAACCCA
rnacentral:rRNA from 1 species